GGUGGUGCCCCGAGGGAGAAUCGAACUCCCACUUCUUUCGAAAACGGAUUUUGAAUCCGCCGCGUCUACCA
rnacentral:tRNA from 1 species